rnacentral:rRNA from 1 species
GGCAGGCCUAACACAUGUCAAGUCGAGUCGAGAUCUUCGGAUCUAGCGGCGGACGGGUGAGUAACGCGUGGGAACGUGCCCUUCUCUACGGAAUAGUCCCGGGAAACUGGGUUUAAUACCGUAUACGCCCUUCGGGGGAAAGAAUUUCGGAGAAGGAUCGGCCCGCGUUGGAUUAGGUAGUUGGUGGGGUAAUGGCCUACCAAGCCGACGAUCCAUAGCUGGUUUGAGAGGAUGAUCAGCCACACUGGGACUGAGACACGGCCCAGACUCCUACGGGAGGCAGCAGUGGGGAAUCUUAGACAAUGGGCGCAAGCCUGAUCUAGCCAUGCCGCGUGAGUGACGAAGGCCCUAGGGUCGUAAAGCUCUUUCGCCAGGGAUGAUAAUGACAGUACCUGGUAAAGAAACCCCGGCUAACUCCGUGCCAGCAGCCGCGGUAAUACGGAGGGGGUUAGCGUUGUUCGGAAUUACUGGGCGUAAAGCGCGCGUAGGCGGACUAUUAAGUCAGGGUGAACUCCCGGGGCUCAUCCCGGAACUGCCCUUGAUACUGGUAGUCUUGAGUUCGAGAGAGGUGAGUGGAAUUCCGAGUGUAGAGGUGAA